rnacentral:rRNA from 1 species
UUGACGGGGCCCGCACAAGCGGUGGAGCAUGUGGUUUAAUUCGAUGCAACGCGAAGAACCUUACCUGGGCUUGACAUCCCGAGAAUCCCCUGGAAACAGGGGAGUGCCUUUCGGGGAACUCGGAGACAGGUGCUGCAUGGCUGUCGUCAGCUCAUGUCGUGAGAUGUUGGGUUAAGUCCCGCAACGAGCGCAACCCUUGUCUUUAAUUGCCAGCAUUCAGUUGGGCACUUUAAAGAGACUGCCGGUGUUAAACCGGAGGAAGGCGGGGAUGACGUCAAGUCCUCAUGGCCCUUACAUCCCGGGCUACACACGUGCUACAAUGGCAGGUACAGAGGACUGCGAAGCCGCGAGGUGGAGCGAAUCCCAGAAAACCUGUCUCAGUCCGGAUUGAAGUCUGCAACUCGACUUCAUGAAGGCGGAAUCGCUAGUAACCGCGAAUCAGCAGGUCGCGGUGAAUACGUUCCCGGGCCUU